UACAGAGGUGGCAAGCGUUGUUCGGAAUUACUGGGCGUAAAGGGCUCGUAGGCGGCCAACUAAGUCAGACGUGAAAUCCCUCGGCUUAACCGGGGAACUGCGUCUGAUACUGGAUGGCUUGAGUGUGGGAGAGGGAUGCGGAAUUCCAGGUGUAGCGGUGAAAUGCGUAGAUAUCUGGAGGAACACCGGUGGCGAAGGCGGCAUCCUGGACCACGACUGACGCUGAGGAGCGAAAGCCAGGGGAGCAAACGGG
rnacentral:rRNA from 1 species